rnacentral:rRNA from 1 species
GAUGAACGCUGGCGGCGUGCCUAAUACAUGCAAGUCGAGCGAACAGACGAGGAGCUUGCUCCUCUGACGUUAGCGGCGGACGGGUGAGUAACACGUGGAUAACCUACCUAUAAGACUGGGAUAACUUCGGGAAACCGGAGCUAAUACCGGAUAAUAUAUUGAACCGCAUGGUUCAAUAGUGAAAGACGGUUUUGCUGUCACUUAUAGAUGGAUCCGCGCCGCAUUAGCUAGUUGGUAAGGUAACGGCUUACCAAGGCAACGAUGCGUAGCCGACCUGAGAGGGUGAUCGGACACACUGGAAGUGAGACACGGUCCAGACUCCUACGGGAGGCAGCAGUAGGGAAUCUUACGCAAUGGGCGAAAGCCUGACGGAGCAACGCCGCGUGAGUGAUGAAGGUCUUCGGAUCGUAAAACUCUGUUAUUAGGGAAGAACAAAUGUGUAAGUAACUAUGCACGUCUUGACGGUACCUAAUCAGAAAGCCACGGCUAACUACGUG